rnacentral:rRNA from 1 species
CUCGUGUCGUGAGAUGUUGGGUUAAGUCCCGCAACGAGCGCAACCCUUGUUCUGUGUUGCCAGCAUGCCCUUCGGGGUGAUGGGGACUCACAGGAGACUGCCGGGGUCAACUCGGAGGAAGGUGGGGACGACGUCAAGUCAUCAUGCCCCUUAUGUCUUGGGCUGCACACGUGCUACAAUGGCAGGUACAAUGAGCUGCGAAGCCGUGAGGCGGAGCGAAUCUCAAAAAGCCUGUCUCAGUUCGGAUUGGGGUCUGCAACUCGACCCCAUGAAGUCGGAGUUGCUAGUAAUCGCAGAUCAGCAUUGCUGCGGUGAAUACGUUCCCGGGCCUUGUACACACCGCCCGUCACGUCACGAAAGUCGGUAACACCCGAAGCCGGUGGCCCAACCCCUUGUGGGAGGGAGCUGUCGAAGGUGGGACUGGCGAUUGGGACGAAGUCGUAACAAGGUAGCCGUACCGGAAGGUGCGGCUGGAUCACCUCCUUUCUAA